UGGUUGCUGGCAGGAGAUUCAGUCUUUUUUCCUGCAGGAAGAUAGUUCUGUCUGAGAAAUAUGAUUUCAGAAAUCUCCAGGAUGAGCUGCAAUUGUGUGCACUGAUCCUUUCCUACUCACCAAAGGAUGAAAGUACAUGGAGCCAUAGAUACACCUUGUGUACUUCUUCAAAGAAUUAAACCAGCGUGCCUGUGAAACUCUUUCAGAUAAAAGGGUUGUAUCCUCUACCUAUCUAUUUGGAGCUGGUUUCACUUCGCACCAAAUUUUCAUGUUGAUUUGUAAUAACAAUAAAAUCAUGUAGAGUUUAAAGUUAUUUUUUGCUGCAGGAGCUGGGUGUUAAAACAUGCAGGAAUUGGGUGUUAAAACAAGUUGCAGAGCAACAUCAAGAUAUGUCAGAGCUCGUAGAGAAGGAAUCGGUAUUGGUGAAAGAUACUUACGAAUUCUUGCUCAUUCAAAUUGUUAACAGUGUCAACUUGUCUAAGCUCAAGCUCAUCAACUUUGUAACAGCAUUAUGUUUGAUUGAGUAGCAGCAGCGGCAGGAGUUGUUUUGUCGUGGCAACAACAACAAUGGCUAUCAUCAUCAGCUUCGGUAGGUAAGCAGAUUAGCACUCAGCAAGGUUUCAGAUGUCAGGUUUAUGGAUUUUAUUUUUCAUGCUAUAUUGAUGCUACUGCUAGUUCCAUUAUUCAGUCACUGGUUGCUUGCUUUGUUCGGUCAAUUGAGUAGUUCAUUAGUUUAUUUACUAAAAUGAAUUUUAGCUCAUGUGCUUUUGUUCAUCUCAUUUGACCUGCAUAGUAGUUUUUCUAGCAUCAUUCGCAGAUGAAGGCAACUGCAGCUAAACUUUUAUCAAGAGAAAUUAAACAAUGAUGAGAUGAGAAGACUACUUUUUAUGUCGAUGUUUUCUAUGAAGUAAAAUGCUAGUUUUGCAGGCAUUUCAUCUCGAUUUUGCCCUAUUUUGAUGAAGAAACAAUGUUGUUUUGAAGUAAACCAUUUUUGAUUGGAUUUUAUCUACAAUUUACUGAAGUUUCACCUCUCCGCUCGAGGGUGACAGGAAUAACAUCUCAAUUCCUCUUGUUUGAUUGAGUAGCAGCAGCGGCAGGAGUUGUUUUAUCGUGGCAACAACAACAAUGGCUAUCAUCAUCAGCUUGGGUAGUAAAAUGCUACUUCUAUGUGCGUGGAUAAGAGGAGCAAUUAAAGAAUGAGGAGAUGAGAAGAACUACUUUACGCAGAUGUUCUGUCCUUGAAGCAAAAUGCAACUUUUGUUGGGAUUUCAUCUCGAUAUGCCCUGUUUUGGUGAAGAAACAAAUGUUGUUUUGAAUCAUGGUCAUUA